GUUCCGGCCCCUCCCGCCCCGCCGGGUUCCGCGCUGCGCCCGGGUCCGAGGGGCGCCCCGGCCGACCCGACCACCGCCGCAGAUCGAAGGAGGGAGCCCGGCCUCCUCACCGGUCAGCGGGGCGACUCCGGACGGGGCUCCGGGCUAUGGGGACGGCGGGUUCCGCCGCGCGAGGCGCCCCCACCUUCGCCGCCCCCGGCCCGGCCGAGGGUCCCCAGGCGCCCGCUUCCUGAGGCCGCCCGGCUCGCGGUCCCGAAGGGUUGACUUGAGCUUUUGCCCUGAGAUGAAGGGAGCACGGGGCGGCCGAGGCUGCCCGUGGGGGUCUGUUCGGGCCGGGGGCGCCACGAAGUCCUGCCUAAGGGUCGGCUGCGGCCACCGGGGCACGAGUUCCCGGCGCUGCCCACGGGCUCGGAGACCGGCGGGGCCCAGGGGCCGUGCGCGCGGUCGCUCAGACCCUGAUUAGGGAACUGGGGGAAGGAGGGGGGUCGGGACCCACCGAGGCCCGAAGUCGCCCCCACCAUCCUGUGGGAACAACAUCCUCAGGCACAGCCAUUCCCAACCAUUCACAUCCUCAGAAAAAGGCACGUGUCCGUAUCCAUCUGCGGAUGGAUGAACAGAGCCCGGCCCCGGGACAGAGCAGCCUGGCUCACCCGAACCCUCAGCCCGCAAUUCUGCGUGGGAGUGGAGGGGGUGUUUGGUGUCUGGGAAUUCCCCUGGUGGGGCAAUAAGCCAGGGGUCUGGUGUCAUCCUCCACCCACAUUGUUAACACUGGAUCACUCCUCUCCGUGCCGUGCCUGCAGCCCAGGCACCCUGCAGCCUGUCCUCCCCGAACCAUGCGUCCUGGUAGAGCUGUCUCCCUCGCCCACAGUCCUCAGUCCCGCCUCACACACCAAACCCUCUUCUGCCUCAGGUCCUUUGCGCCAGUUGCCUCUGCCUAGACUUGGUUCCCUGGAUGCCCCCUCCCCACCCCAUGUGUAUGUCCGGCUCCCUGGACCCACCCCCCACACUGUGUGUCUAGCCCCCUGGACCCACCCCCCACUCUGUGUCUAGUCCCCUGGACUCCCCUCCCCACCCCCUGUGUCUAGCUCCCUGGACCCCCAACCUGGCCCAUGUGUCCAACUCCCAGGACCCCCCCACCCUGUGUCCAGCUCCCUGGUUUCCCCCACCACCCCAUGUGUUUGGCUCCCUGUCCUGCUGCCUUCUCAGUGCUUGUGCACCCCCAGCCUCAUCAGACUUGUCACUCUAUUAGAACAGGAUGUAGGGCCUGGACUGUUGGCUCCCUGCUACCCCCACCCACAGGACAGUGCUGGGGUUGACCCGACUUUGGCUGCACAUUUGACUGGCCCCUGGAUCAGCUCUAGGACUAGAUGUACCCAAAAGGAUGCCCACAUCCUUGCCUCAGCUCCUGCCUCUGCCCACCCAGAGAGCUGCCUUGCCCCCAUGUCCACGAUGCAGCCACCAGGCCUGGGUAAGCGUGGGUGUCCGAGACGGGCUGGGACACCCAGAAGAGGAGCCAGGACUUGCUUGGUCUGUAUCCCGGCUCUGCAUGCCUCAGUGUCCCUGCCUGUAAAGUGGGAUCUAUGGGAACCCAUGUGUGGGCCGGGCACAGUGCUCACACCUGUGAACCCAGCACCUUGGGAGGCCAAAGGGAGGAUCCUUUGAGCUCGGGAGACAGGGUCUCGCUCUGUUGCCCAGGCUGUAGUUCAGCGGCGUGAUCUCAGCUCACUGCAGCCUCCGCCUCCCAGGUUCAAGCGAUUCUCCUGCCUCAGCUUCCUGAGUAACUGGGAUUACAGGCACUUGCCACCAUGCCCAGCUAAUUUUGUAUUUUUAGUAGAGAUGGGGUUUUGCCAUGUUGGCCAGGCUGGUCUCAAACUCCUGACCUCAAGUGAUCUGCCUGCCUCGGCCUCCCAAAGUGCUGUGAUUACAGGUGUGAGUCAUCAUGCCUGGCCAAAAAAAAUUUUUUUAAAUUAACCGGGUGUGAUGGCACAUGCCUGUGGUCCCAGCUACCUGAGGCCAAGGUGGGAAGAUCACUUGAACACAGCACUUCGAGGCCACAGUGAACUAUGAUCGCGCCACUGCACUCCAGCCUGGGUGACAGAGCAAGACCCUGUCUCCAAAAAAAACCCUCUAAACCUAUGUGUUAUGGAUAGGGCCUCUAAGAAGGUAAUUAAAGUUACGUGAGUCCUAAGGGUGGGACCCUGAACUGUUGUCCUUAAAAGAAGAGGAAGAGACACCAGGAGUGAGCACACAGAGGAGAGGCCACAUGAGGACGCAGGGAGAGGGUGCCGUCUGCAAGCCAUGGAGAGGCCUCAGGAGGAACCCACCCUGCCGGCAGCCUGAUCCCUGACAUCCAGACUCCGGAAGUGAGAAAAUAAAUGUCGUUUAAGCCGCCCAGGCUGUGGUGUUGAGUUAUGCGGCCCUAGCAGGUCAUUUGUCACGUCAUGGGUAUCUGGACCUGGAAUCGUGUGCUGGCCCAAGUCAGCAGCAUGGCACCCAUGGUCACCCCUUCAGCUGAGCCACAUGCCCGGGUGCCCCAGGGACAGAGCAGGGUGUGCCACGGGCACUGCCUGGUUCCUGAAGCUGUGGGGCAGGCCGGUCUGGCCCUCACAGCCUGUGCUCUGAUUCGAGGGCCGUUCCGUUGGGUUGAGCUCCACGGUCCCAGAGCGCCCGCCGUCAGCUCAGGCCGAGGGCCCUUCCUGGUGCCCCGGUGAGUGACACGGCCAGGACCUGACCCUCCCAUGCCUCUGUGGCAGAGCAAGGUGGGUGGGGAACUGGCUGUCCUGCUCCCAGCUGCGUUCCUGGCACCUAUGCCCCACCCACCCAGACACACAUCUGGGUGUCAGGCAGCCGCAUGUCACUGAGUGGGGUAAACAAGGGAGGGUGAGAGGAAGGUCAGAAGGCCAUGGCUGAGGGCGUAAGUGUGGGCUGAGGCUCUUGCUUCCCAGAACACAGACUGACCUUGGUGGCAGACCUCACCAUGGGAGCCCCCAAAAGCUGCUUGCUUGAGGCCUCCAGGCCUCUUGCAGGGCCCU
rnacentral:lncRNA from 10 species